rnacentral:rRNA from 1 species
GCCCAGCCGUAAACUUUUACUUACACCAACAAUCGCCUGGGAAUUACGAGCAAAGCUUAAAACCCAAAGGACUUGACGGUACCCCACAUCCACCUAGAGGAGCCUGUCCUAUAAUCGAUAAUCCACGCUUAACCUCACCACUUCUAGCCCAUCAGCCUGUAUACCUCCGUCCUCAGCUUACCUCGUGAGUGUAACCUAGUAAGCCUAAUGCCCGUACGCCAACACGUCAGGUCAAGGUGCAGCAAAUGAAGCGGGAAGAGAUGGGCUACACUCUCUAACUUAGAAAACACGAAAGACUACAUAUGAAACCUAGUCGGAAGGCGGAUUUAGAAGUAAAAAGAAAAUAGCAUGUUCUUUUUAACCCGGCACUGGGGUGUGUACACACCGCCCGUCACCCUCUUCAUGAAAACUAAAAAGUACCUAACAAUACCAACUCAACUAGAAGAGGUAAGUCGUAACAUGGUAAGUAUACCGGAAGGUGUGCUUGGAAA